rnacentral:rRNA from 1 species
GUGCCAGCAGCCGCGGUAAUACGGGAGUGGCAAGCGUUAUCCGGAAUUAUUGGGCGUAAAGCGUCCGCAGGCGGUUUUACAAGUCUGUCGUUAAAACGUGGAGCUCAACUCCAUUUCGGCGAUGGAAACUGUAAGACUAGAGUGUGGUAGGGGCAGAGGGAAUUCCCGGUGUAGCGGUGAAAUGCGUAGAUAUCGGGAAGAACACCAGUGGCGAAGGCGCUCUGCUGGGCCAUAACUGACGCUCAUGGACGAAAGCCAGGGGAGCGAAAGGGAUUAGAUACCCCUGUAGUCCUGGCCGUAAACGAUGAACACUAGGUGUCGGGGGAAUCGACCCCCUCGGUGUCGUAGCCAACGCGUUAAGUGUUCCGCCUGGGGAGUACGCACGCAAGUGUGAA